AUCACCUGGAAAUUUUGUUAAAAUGCAGCUCCUGAUUCAGUAGGUCUGGGGUGGGACCUGAGAUGCUGUAUUUCUAAUAAGUUUCUAGGUGAUGCUGA
rnacentral:pre_miRNA from 1 species